ensembl:lncRNA
CACAUCUGAAAUCCAGCACCGCAUGCUUGAAAGCCUAGACUUCCUUCUCUGUAGCCUCUCAAGGUCUGGAGAUUGCUGCCCAUCUCCCGCAGCACAUUCUGGAGCUUACGACGUUUGGCAGGGAUUUGUCUAUGUUUUCAACUUUGCAAAGGCAAAUGAAGGCAACUAAAGCUAAAGCUAUUCUUCUGGAGACAGAGAAGAGAAACUGCAAUUCCCUUUCCAUCUGUGUUUUCAGAGUUUGUAGCUCUGAGGGUCCAUAUUAAGUGACCAGAAAAAAAGAAAAAGGAACAUCAUUCUAGCAGCAGAGCAAAUUAUUCUUC